rnacentral:rRNA from 1 species
UACGUAGGGUGCGAGCGUUAAUCGGAAUUACUGGGCGUAAAGCGUGCGUAGGCGGUUCGUAGUCUGCUGUGAAAGCCCUGGGCUCAACCUGGGAACUGCAGUGGAUACUGGCGGACUAGAGUGUGAUAGAGGAUGGUGGAAUUCCCGGUGUAGCGGUGAAAUGCGUAGAGAUCGGGAGGAACACCAGUGGCGAAGGCGGCCAUCUGGAUCAACACUGACGCUGAGGCACGAAAGCGUGGGGAGCAAACAGGG